GCUAUAAGUACGAAUACAAAUAUAGUCUUGUAAACUAAAUUAGAAAGUUAGACCCUUUCAUAUAGCU
rnacentral:tRNA from 1 species